UACAGAGGGUGCGAGCGUUGUCCGGAAUCACUGGGCGUAAAGGGCGCGUAGGCGGCCACCGCAAGUCGACUGUGAAAUCUCCGGGCUUAACCCGGAAAGGUCAGCCGAUACUGCGGGGCUAGAGUGCAGAAGGGGCAACUGGAAUUCUCGGUGUAGCGGUGAAAUGCGUAGAUAUCGAGAGGAACACCUGUGGCGAAGGCGGGUUGCUGGGCUGACACUGACGCUGAGGCGCGAAAGUGUGGGGAGCGAACAGG
rnacentral:rRNA from 1 species